UAGGGAAUCUUCCGCAAUGGACGAAAGUCUGACGGAGCAACGCCGCGUGAGUGAAGAAGGAUUUCGGUUCGUAAAACUCUGUUGUUAGGGAAGAAAAAAUGUAUAGUAACUAUAUACAAAAGAGACGGUACCUAACCAGAAAGCCACGGCUAACUACGUGCCAGCAGCCGCGGUAAUACGUAGGUGGCAAGCGUUGUCCGGAAUUAUUGGGCGUAAAGGGCGUGUAGGCGGCUAGAUAAGUGUGAUGUUUAAAUCCAAGGCUUAACCUUGGGGUUCAUUACAAACUGUUUAGCUUGAGUGCUGGAGAGGAUAGUGGAAUUCCUAGUGUAGCGGUAAAAUGCGUAGAUAUUAGGAGGAACACCGGUGGCGAAGGCGGCUAUCUGGACAGUAACUGACGCUGAGGCGCGAAAGCGUGGGGAGCAAACAGG
rnacentral:rRNA from 1 species